CAUGUCUUUAUGGGGUUAUAUUAUAAAGGAUAGUUGUUAUGUACAGAGAUAAUAUCACAUACAUUAGAAUUCGGAAGAAUGUCGCUAGAUUUAUGCUUUUUUUUUAGCUACAGCUGCUUACAAAGCCUUAAAUAUCGAGAUCGGAAGAGCA